GGAUGUUAUUUUUAGCAUCUUUCAGUGAAAAUGUCAAUUUUUAAAUGAUUUGAUUUUUAAAAAUAUUUUCUCUUUUAAAAAAAAUCUAGGGUACAGGAUCCCAGUAAUGAAUGUGACUGUAUUGUAUACCUAGAUUGUACCACUAAACUCAAUAAAAAGAAAAAAAUAUCUAGGUAAGGCCAGGGAUUUAGCUCAGUGGUUCUGCCGCCUGCCUUGCAAGCGCAAGGAUCCAAGUUGGAUCCCCAGUACAAAAAAAAAAAAAAAAAAAAAAAAAAAAUCUAGGCAAACAAAAGCAGUAAAACAAUAGUUAAUAAAUUUAAUAGUUGCAUUUAUUUAUUUUCUUACUGAUGUUUAUGUUUUUAUUUGACAAAUAAUAGUAUGUGCAUUUUUUAAAUUGUGUUUGGAAAAGCACAAUACACCCUACCUGAAUUUUUAAAAGAAAAGUUAGAAAGUUUUUUCUCAUCUGUAAUAAAUGUACAUUUGCUCUAAGGCAUGGAGCUUAGUGAUUUCUCAAGGUCUUUUCUCAUGUUUCCUUGCUUUGGAAAUUUCUAGUUUUUAUAUCUGCUGUAUGUCUACUCUGUAUCAUACCUUCUUCCAGCAGGUUCACCCUGGCUACCUAUGGACAAAACAAAAAGCUGUCCUCUGAAAAAAUCUGCUUUAUCACCUCCCUCACUAUAGGCUUCAGCUUCCUUCUCCAUGCAGGAAUGUGGUUAUAGUCUAGCAGAGUGGCACAGAAUCUUCCAGGUGAUCAGAGACCACAUGCUCUACAUUGCAGUCCAUCCUCCUUAUUACAUGCUGAUCCACAGCUUGUUCCCAGCUUCCUCCCUACAUGAAUCAUCACAGUUCCUAUGCAGGCAGUGGGAGUCACAGACCACCAAGAACUUACCCUUCAUGCAGAGAAAGACUCUUCAAAUCUCAGAUGGCAGUACAGAAUCCUGGUAAUUCUACUGUGAGAUUUCUGCUGCAAAAUAUCAUAAAUGAAUACAUAGAUCAGUUCUUGAUUUUCAUAAAGUUCUCCAUUUAUUGAAAAAGGAGAAGAAGGGAAGACUGGAAAAUAAAAUGAGCAAAGAGUAUGUGUCUGUGUGUGUGUGUUGUUUUAAAACUAUUAUAAUUAAGGAAAAAUGGUUAAGUAUUUUUGGGAAACUUAUGAUUAUCAUAUUCAAGUAGUAUACUGGAUGAAGCCUUAGAGAAACUAUUUGCUUAGUUAUUUAGUAAUUUAUAUAUUUAUCCACUGACUAAUAGGCUAGCAAAUGAGGUGGUGCUGAAAGUCUUAUUCUUAAAUAUCAGGAUCUACAUUUAAAGAUAUUGCCCCAGGACUGAUCAAGGGCAAAGAUGCUCCCCCUGUUUAUUUCUCCAGCAAAAAGGAAGAACGAGAAACAUCACUGCAGACCAUCUCCGAG
rnacentral:lncRNA from 1 species